CGGCAGCUCAAGUGGUAGCCGCGAUUAUUGGGCCUAAAGCGUUCGUAGCCGGAUAAGUAAGUCUUUGGUUAAAUCCUGCGACUUAACCGUGGGAAAUCUAGAGAUACUGCUUGUCUUGAGACCGGGAGAGGUUGGAGGUACUCCCAGGGUAGGGGUGAAAUCCUGUAAUCCUGGGGGGACCACCUGUGGCGAAGGCGUCCAACUGGAACGGGUCUGACGGUGAGGGACGAAACCUAGGGGAGCGAGCCGGAUUAGAUACCCGAGUAGUCC
rnacentral:rRNA from 1 species